UACAGAGGGUGCGAGCGUUAAUCGGAAUUACUGGGCGUAAAGCGCGCGUAGGCGGCUUUGCAAGUCGGGUGUGAAAUCCCCAGGCUUAACCUGGGAACUGCAUUCGAGACUGCAUUGCUAGAGUAUGGGAGAGGGAAGUGGAAUUUCCGGUGUAGCGGUGAAAUCGUAGAUAUCGGGAAGGAACAUCAGUGGGCGAAAAGCGACUUCCUGGACCAAAUACUG
rnacentral:rRNA from 1 species